UACGGGGGGGGCAAGCGUUGUUCGGAAUUACUGGGCGUAAAGGGCGCGUAGGCGGCUUUUCAAGUCGGGCGUGAAAUCUCCGGGCUUAACCCGGAAGGGUCGUUCGAUACUGUUGAGCUAGAGUGUGGAAGAGGCAACUAGAAUUCCGUGUGUAGCGGUGAAAUGCGUAGAUAUACGGAGGAAUACCUGAGGCGAAGGCGGGUUGCUGGGCCAACACUGACGGCUGAGGCGCGAAAAGCCAGGG
rnacentral:rRNA from 1 species